rnacentral:rRNA from 1 species
UCCAAUAGCGUAUAUUAAAGUUGUUGCGGUUAAAAAGCUCGUAGUUGGAUUUCAGUUCUGGACUGACGGUUCACCGCCCGGUGAUCACUGUCACGCUCCGAACAUUUUAACUACCCGCUGGCUCGCACGGGGUGCUCUUUACCGAGUGUCCCGCGUGGCCGGCAGAGUUUACUUUGAAAAAAUUAGAGUGCUCAAAGCAGGCUACACUGACGGCCUGAAUGCCUAUGCAUGGAAUAAUGGAAUAGGACCUCGGUUCUAUUUUGUCGGUUUUCUGAACCCGAGGUAAUGACUAAUAGGAACAGGCGGGGGCAUUCGUAUUGCGACGCUAGAGGUGAAAUUCUUGGACCGUCGCAAGACGAACUACUGCGAAAGCAUUUGCCAAGGAUGUUUUCAUUAAUCAAGAACGAAAGUUAGAGGUUCGAAGGCGAUCAGAUACCGCCCUAGUUCUAACCAUAAACGAUGCUGACCAGCGAUCCGCCGGCGUUAUUCCCAUGACCCGGCGGGCAGCUUCCGGGAAACCAAAGUCUUUGGGUUCCGGGGGAAGUAUGGUUGCAAAGCUGAAACUUAAAGGAAUUGACGGAAG